rnacentral:tRNA from 1 species
GGGCAGUUAGCUCAGUCAGUGAGAGUGUGGUGCUGAUAACACUGAGGUUGCGAGUUCGAUCCCCGCUCGGUCCC